UAGAAAUUCCUCUUGGUCUGUGGUGCUUAGGGCAGAGGUUUGCGUGCGUUUGCUCAUAUUACCACACGUGGGCACUUACGGCCGUCACGCAGCCACCUGGAACGUACCACGUGUAGAUUUCCUUCGAAGUCCCUAUCGUCUUGCCCGCCCCCACAUAGUGAACACCAGAAGCCUAUUCAAGGCCUGAUUUAUUGAUUACAGCUUGCGCUCCAUACCUUUCAUUAUUCCAUCAGCCAUGAUAGAGGAAACUGAACCAGACAGCGAGUAGAAAGUAUGUUGUUUUUUUUUUAAGAAAGCAGAAAAGGAAUGCAAGCCAAGACCCAAAAAAGUAUUCUGGACAUGGACUGGUCAAGCUUGGCCUCAGCAGAGGGCCUUCACACAGAAAAAGAGGAACCAAUAAAAUGUUCAACAGUCAUAUGGAAUGGAAUGGGAAUGAAAAGGAUACUCAACCAUACAGCCCAUUUUCCCACAAGACAUUUAUCGAGUUUGGGGGUUGUACCAGAUGCUGAGGGAUUGGACCUGGUAGGCAAAGUAAAAUCUCCUCCCAUUCUACCAAGACAUACAAAAUUCACUCCACUUAGAAAGUGCCUGCCUCAAAGACAGAGGCACUGGCCGGCGCCGCGGCUCACUAGGCUAAUCCUCCGCCUUGCGGCGCCGGCACACCGGGUUCUGUCCCGGUCAGGGCGCUGGAUUCUGUCCCGGUUGCCCCUCUUCCAGGCCAGCUCUCUGCUGUGGCCCAGGAGUGCAGUGGAGGAUGGCCCAGGUGCUUGGGCCCUGCACCCCAUGGGAGACCAGGAGAAGCACCUGGGUCCUGGCUUCGGAUCAGCGCGGUGCGCUGACCGGCAGUGCGCCGGCUGUGGCAGCCAUUGGAGGGUGAACCAACGGCAAAAGGAAGACCUUUCUCUCUGUCUCUCUCUCUCUCACUGUCCACUCUGCCUGUCAAAAAAAAAAGACAGAGGCACUUUCACUCCUCGAGACAUUCCCAAUAUUUCUGCGAUAUGAGCAGAAGUCUGAAGAUCUAAAGUUUAACAUCUCUCAGAGACAGAACUGAAUCUCCUGAGCAAAGGAAACGAGGUCCUUCCAGGCUCUUAAUCAGAUGCCCUGAGGAAUUACGUGAGAAGACCAGAGAACCCAGAAGUGGCCAGAGUCUCACUAAAACUGCCACCCAGUCCAACCCAGCUCAUCCCUGAAUAGAUUGAGGUAAUCAGACCACUCUCUGUUUUUCCAUCUAUAUUGUCUAUAGGUUUUUAAUAGAAAAAUCUGGCACUUGGUAAAAAUAUUCUGACACAUGAGAAGAGCAGGAAAAUUUGACCAGUAAUCAAGAGAAAAAAAAAGUAGGUAAUAGAAGACCCAUAGAUAAAUCAGAUAAUAGCAUUCAGUUUAGAAUUUUACCAUCGUAAAAUAAAGCAAUAGGAGAAAAAGUAGACAAAAUGAAUUAAAAUAUACAGAAUUUUAACAAUUGGAAUCCAUGAAAUAAUUAAUGGAAAAUCUUGAAUUUAAAAAUAUAAUAUCUACAAUAAAAAGCUUAAUGAAUGGGUUUAACAGCUGACUGGACACAGCAGAACAGAGGAUUAGUGAACUUGAGAACAGGUCAAGAAAAAAUAUUCAGAACAGGCACACUUAUAAAGGCAGAAAGUAAUUUAACAGUUACUUAGGGCUGAGGGUAGUAGAGGUUAGAUAUUGACUGCUAAUGCAUAUGGGAAUUUUUUAAGGAGUAUAAAAAUGUUCUAAAAUUAGAUCACGGUAAUGGUUACAUAAACUUGUGAAUACUAAAAACAUAGACUUGUACAUUUUAAGUGAGGAAAAUGUGUGUUGUGUCAAUUAUAUCUCAGUAGGGCUGUUAAAAAAAGGAAGGAAAAAACAACCAUACAAAUGCAAUAAACUCGGCAAACUCCCAUAGGAUAAAUGUAACAAAUCUAAGUAUGUCAUAGUCAAACGUUAGAAAAUCUUCUGGGGGUUGGCGCUGUGGCAUAGCGGGUAAAGCCGCCGCCUGCAGCGCUGGCAUUCCAUAUGGGCACCAUUUCGAAUACCGUCUGCUCCACUUCUGAUCCAUUUCUCUGCUAUGGCCUGAGAAGGUGGUCAAAGAUGGCUCAAGUUCUUGGGACCCUGUACCCACAUGGGAGACCUGGAGGAAGCUCCAGGCUCUUGGCUUCGGAUCGUCUCUGUUCUGGCCAUUGGGGCCAUUUGGAGAGUGAACCAGCGGAUGGAAGACUUCUCUCUCUCUCUUUCUCUCUUUCUCUCUCUCUCUCUCUUUCUCUACCUCUCUGUAACUCUGCCUUUCAAAUAAAUAAAUAAGUAAAUAUUAAAAAAAAAAAGCUUCUGAGAAGCAAUGAAGGCAAGCGUUUCAAAAAGCCUUAAAGAAGGAAAUCUUAAAGUCUAAGGAAGGCAGAAAAUUAAUGAGCUAAUAUAAAUAUGUGCAUAGUUCAGUGUAAGGAGUUAAAUAAUCAGAAUUAAUCUGCCUUUUACUUUUUUAAAUGGUUUUAGUGAAGACAUCUAAUUAUUUUCAAUAUGGUGCUUUGCAAGUAAGCUGGGAAUGUAUCAGCUCUUAUAUGAUUAAAGAAUGAUUUUACAUGUUAAAAAUCAUUUUGUAGGUUCUGUAGACUCUAUGGAUAAGGUUCAAGGUGUAACUAUUUGUGUGUGGCUAAAAUGCACAGGGAAAAAUAUGCAAUGAGAACAGGGAGAAUCCAACUUGUUGAUGGGUCAUCCACAUAGAGGUUGAUAGGAAGAAUUUUGAUCCUGUUACACAAAAUCUUGAACAUCAUAAUAACCAUUGCCUUUAAAUAGAUAUGUGUGUGUAUGUGUAUAUUUAUAUGUAUAUAAUUUACUGAUUAGAGAGACAGAGUUCCCAUCUGCCAGUUUACUACCCAAAUGCUUGCAACAUCUUGGGAUGAGCCUGUCCAAAGCUAGGGGCUGGGAACCCAAUCCAGGUCUCCCACACUGGGGUAAUGGUAGCGCAGGAACGCAAUUACUUGAGCCAUCACCUGCCGCCUUCCAGCGUCUGCAUUAGCAGGAAGUUGGAAUCAGAAGCUGGAACUGGAGAUUGAACUCGCAGGCACUCUGAUGUGGGACACAGGCAUCUUAACAGGUGUCUUAACUGCUAGAUCAAACUCAUGCCCAUGACCUACCCUUUGACAGCGGGGAAUGUGAAAGAAUACUGGUAAAUUAAUAGACCAAUAGUACACAAAGACGCUUCAAUAAGAUAUUUGGUAGUUUAUCAUUUACUUUUGGGUGAGAUUAAAUUUGUGAAACAGAAUGGAAUAUAGAAUCUAUUACAACUAAAAUCUAAACUCAUAAAAGCAACAUUAAUGGCCUAUUCAUCUCAUGAUUUAGAAAAAUCUGGCUCUCAUUAAAUCUUGAAAUGUUCUCAUUAGCCUCUAUAUGGCUGUUUCUCAAAUACAUGGACAUGAAGUUCUGAGAUGUCAUUGUUCUUUAAUGGAACAUUAUCCUCUCUUAGUAAUUUAUUUAUCCAAACACUAUUCACAGACUUUCAUUGAGUUGACAAAGGUUAGAAAAAUAUUGUUUUGGGGAAGCACCUUCUUGGGAAAUAAUUCCUUUUGUAUUGCAUUUUGAAUUUUAAUCAUUUGAAGGUCCUUAUGAAUAAAUACAGAUGUUCUUCAUGUUAUAAAUAAUAAAUAUAAAUUUCUAACAUGUUGAUUUUCACUUCUUUGAAUAAUGCACUACUUAUUCAAAUAACCUCAUAGUGAAUAAGAGCACAGAUUCCAGAACCAGUUAGAUUAAAUUUGAGCCCUAGCUCUAUCAGUUACUAGCUGGGUGAUUUCUGUGUUUCAUCUUACUCUAAAAAUUUGAGUAACACUGCCAUCAAAAUCUAAGGUUGUUGUGGGAAUUAAGUGAGAUAAUUAGUGCUGAGUAUAUAGCGAUUGCUGUAUAUAUAUAACUAUAAUUUUAUGGAAAGUCUUUAUAUUGUAUUAAAGCUUCCAUAAAUAAAUCUUAUCUAGUUAUUUUUAUUGUUUUUUCAUUUGAGAGCAGAGAGAGACAAGAGAUAUGGAGACAGGGAGGGAGAGGGAGAGAAAGCUCCUAUUAGCAGGUUCAACCCCUGGGUAUCUACAAUAGGGAGGUACAGGGGGGCCAAGCCGGUAGCUUGGAACUCAACCAGGCCUCACAUGAGAACUACUUGAACUAUCAGCGCUGCCUCCCAGGGUCUGCUUUAUCGGGAAGUUGGAGUCAGGAGCAGGAGUUGCGAAUCAAAUCCAGCUACUCCUGUAUAGCACACAGCUAUCCCAACCACUGGCCAAAUGCCUGCCCUUAUCUCUUUGUAAAUGUCUAGAUGUUGUCUUUAAAAGUAUUUGUUAUCAAGCUUAGGCUGUUCUUGUACACGUCACUAGAAAUUUGUCUAAUCUUUUGUCUAGAUUGAUAAAAGACUUAAAAGACUUUUCACACACACACAAAAGUGAUUGUUAAAGUCAGUUUAAAUUUUUUCAUUCCAACUUCAUAAAAACAUACUAGUAGGGCCAGCAUUGUGGCAUAGUGGGUUAAGCUGCUGUCUGCAGCGCCAGAAUCCCAUAUGGGUGCCAGUUCAAGUAGUGGCUGUCCAAUUCCGAUCCAGCUUCCUGCUAGUGCACCUGGGAAAACAACUGAGGAUGGCCCAAGUGCUUAGGUCCUAUACUCACGUGGGAGACCCAGAAGAAACUCCUGGCUCCUGGCUUCCGCCUGGCCCAGCCCUAGCCAUUGCAGUCAUUUGGAGAGUGAACCAGUGGAUGGAAGACCUCUGUAGCUCCCUCUCUCUCUCUAAUUCUGCCUUUUAAAUAAAUAAAAUCUUUUUUAGAAACCAAUUAUUAAUGAUUUUCCUGCUAAAUUCAGCUUCAGGUUAAACAGCAGAUAUUAAUAGCAUGUACCUGAUUGAAUAAAAGGAAAACAUUCACAUUCAACUAUUUAGUCAUUCGAGAUUCACUGGUAGUUGUCAUCUUACUCUGUAGUAGCUAGCUCCAGGUUUUCAGUGAUAUUUUCUGCUUGGUGUGGACUUUAAUUAUCACAGAAAAAUCCAUGUUAAAAUUUCUUCUAACAUCUUGUGGUUCCAGGAUUAUCAUUUUUCAAAGGUUUUUAGUAACUAACUUGAAUAACUUUUUAAAAUUUAAGCAUUAGUCUUUCUCCUUCAACCCUCUCUCCUACCAACUCCUCAAUUCAACACAACCACAGCAAUUGUAUUUUCUUCAAACACAAAGGUUCCAAUUAGCCUACAAAAGGAAAUUUUAACAGACCUCUUCUUCAGCCUGAACAGCUUGGUUUUGGCAUCCAGCCACUGAGCGCUAGUACUAUUUAUGAUGCCAAAUUGGAACACAGAGGAAAACAGUGCUGAGUUGCUAUUCACCUCAAUCAACAGGCCCCAACUAAGGCAUGAGUGUGUAUGUAGAAAUUCCAUGCCUCAUAAGUUCUUGUUAUUAAAUUUACUACGAGGAGGCCAUAUUCUGCACAAUCCUGCAUUGGUAAUAUGAUCACAUAAAAACAUGGAGACAGAGUAAAGAAAACUUGGUUCCAAAUGGUAAGAUAUGGGAAAUUUAAAUUUGCCGUCCUAAAUAUUUCUGUUGCAUUGCACCCAUUUUACCAAGCUAUAUAUCCCAACUUCAUCUCUCUCCACCUCCUAUUUAAAAUGCUCUAUCAUUUUUUCCACCACAUAUGGGCUCUUAGUGAUAAGAUUUCAUAAUUAAAGUCUAUUAACUUUAAAAAAAAGGGAGAUAAUAAUUUCACCACCAGGGGGCAAACAACAUUUUUAUAGGCAGAAGAUGUAUUUAACAUUUUACAGAAAUUAUCUCCUGUGAACAUAUCCUUUUUACUGUUAAAAUUCAGUACACUUAAAUUAACAGAUAUGAUUCUAACUUAAAUCUUUAAAUUUAAGGAUAGAGUAUGUUUACAAGGGAGAAAUUUUUACAAGUUGUCAUUAAUUUGUAUAAUUAUAUAAGUCCAUUUUACUUGUGUAGUAAAUGGAUGCCCUUCCUUUUGUGAUAAGUUUUUAGGUGUUAAAAGGAAAUUUCUCCCUCCAUUUAGCCUUUUCUUUCCUGUAUAUACUCAUAAAGAAGAAAAGCAGAAAUGGGCUUUUGGAUUGCUAGUCUAGUCUUUGUCUAGAGGGCCUUUACAUUACUUUUAGUGUAGAUACAGGAUAUCUUGACAAAUGGUUCUGAAGUAUGUAUUUCAGCUCAGCUUAACUUAUAUACUUAGGUCUUUAUUUCCUUCUGAAUUUGGGUUUAUUGUCUUGCUUACAUUAAUUGACACUUUACCAUUUUCUAAUUGUAUGUAUUUAUUUAUAAUUAUUUAUUUAUUUAUUUAGAAAGGCAGAAAGAGAGAGAAAUCUCCUAUCCACUGGUUCACUCCCCAGAUGCUAACAAUAGCUGGGGACAGGCCAGGCCAAAGCUAGGAACUGGGAACUCAAUCUACUGCCCAACCCCUUGGCCAUCACUGCUGCCUCACAAGCUGUGUAUUAGCAGGAAGCUGGCAUUGGAGUGAAGCCAGGACUUGAAUCCUGGCACUUGGAUAUGCCAUGUGGACCUUCCAAGUGGCAUCUUAACUUUGCCAAAUGCCUACCUCCACUUGCUAAUUUUAUAUGGGUGAAAUGAUCAUUUUGAUAAAUUACUCCCUUUGAAACUUUGAUACCACUAAACUUAUCUGGUACAGCACCAGAAUUGUGAAUAUCUCAUGGACAAUAAACAAAAUUUUCAGUACAGUAAAUUAUUGGCAAUAAAAAUCUCUUCAGUGAAAAUUUCGGUCCAAAAUGUGUAAGUCCUGUCGUCCAAAGUUUCUGGAUAUAUGAUUAUUCCUGAGUUGUAAGUAAAUAUUCUAGUAAUGGAAGCAAAAUGAGAUUUUUUUUUGUAAACGAAGGCAUCUGUGGGAUGGUAAAAUAACCACAUUUCACUCCUCUUGGCUUAUUUUCUCUCCCCUCUUCCUGCUUCUAAUUGUUUGCCAAGACCACAUUUCCCUGAAUUGAUUCUAGCGAUAUCAUUAUUUCAAACGAGGGCUGGAGGAGAAUGCAGAGGCCACAGUGGUCUGGCAAGACCUGUGGCUGGCUCACACCCCAGCAUGGUUAUUACCAUGUUCCCAGGGCUACCACCAGGGGGGACAGAACGGAGCCAGAUAUCCCUUCCUGUUCACCUAAACGAUAUUUUUAUCCAGGUGAAAUCACAUUGAAGUAAACAUUGCUCACAAACAUAAGGAGAAAAAUAAGUUGCAAAAUGUCAGCAUAAAGGGCUUAUUUAGACACAUGCUAACAUAUAUUCCAUGUCCUGCCCUCUGUUACAUUACUGUGGAAGGGAAAUUUAGAGAUAAAAGGGUUUUUUUUUUUCUUCUGCUGUUAAUUUGCUUCUUAAAAAAAAAAUAUGAAAAAAAAAUGUGUUUUGAGCUGUUGGUUCUUCAGUGGGUUAAGCCCUGCUUGGGAUGACCACACUCCAUAUGCAGUUUAAGCCCUGGCUCCUCUGCUUCCUGCUAAGGUGCCUGUGAAGGAAGGCAGCAGAUGGACCCAGGUAUGUGGGUCCCUGCCACCCAUGUAGGAGACCCGGAUGGAGUUCCUAGCUCCUGGCCUUUACCUGGCCCAGCCCCAGCUCUUGCGGGCAUUUGGAGAGUGAACCAGUGGAUGGACAAUUUGUCUCUCUCUCUCUCUGACUUUUAAAUAAUCUUUUUUUUUUUUUUAAGUGUGCUUUGAGGCAGGUCUUUAUCUGUUUUUCAGUUAAAAUACCGGUGAAAAUGCGCACAUCCCACAUCAGAAUUUGCCAUGUUCGUUUCUGGGCUGCAGCUGUGCCUUCAGCUUCUCUCCAGUGCAGACCCUGGGAAGCAGCAGUCAAGUAGUUGGGUCCCUGCCAUCCAUGUCAGGAACCUGAAUUGAGUCAAGGCUCCCAGCUUCAGCCCCUUGCCCCUCGCCUCCCAUCCCUCUGGUGGCCAACAUUUGGGGAGUGAACCUGUCCACAAGAACUCUGUCUUUCCGCCUCUUGGAUUAAUUAAUUAAUUGAUACUUUUGUAAAAAGCUGAGAAUCUUGGCUAGGUAUUUCAGGGUCAGAUGGACAAAUUCUAUGGGAAGAAACAGAAAAAAUUCACUUAACAUUUUUUAAUGUGUUUUAGUGUCACUUUACAGGUGUGGCUGCUUCUUUUCCAACAGAAGUGUGUCCUUGAGACACUGUGCAGUCACUCUGAAACAUUACAACCUGUAUUAGAUACCACGGUGCAUCUCUUCAAAUGUUCUACGUUUUACUCGUACACUAGCUAUACCCAAGUGACCAGUUUCAUACUGGCUUCAGCCAGCCUCCCACAAGUACACUGGAAAGGACUUUGCCUUGGGUCAAAUUUUCUGACUUUUACAUUUUUGUAGUGGCAGGUGAUUGCCUAUAUAUACUAUCUAGCAUUUUCUUAAAAAUUUAAACACACUAUAGAAUAUCUUUAAGGUAAAGACACUGUUUAAGAAGUAAGAAAGAAGCUCAUACUAUACAGAGAACUAUACAUGGAAAUGAAUAUUUGGAAAUAUUUCCACGAUUGUAUUUUUUUUGGCCAAAAUUUGUAUAUGUCACUAAUAAAAAGCAAUUAAACUAAUAAAUGCUCUUUUAUCUGAACCCUUAAAAACUUACUCAAAAGUCUUGCAAGUGAGGAUCUAAAGAUAUAAAAUCCAUUUGUUAAAAAUAUAAAAACUACUACUUUUCAGUCAGUUGGCAAGAAUAGUUAUUUGGCAUUAGGGAGGAUGGACAAUUCUAAGCUAUAUUUUAAUUUUAAAAUUUUAUUUAAAAGAAAAUUUUAUUUAUUUGAAAGGCAAACAAACAAGACACCAAGUAAAAGAGCAAUCUCUUAUCUGCUGCUUCAUUCCCCAAAUACCUUUAACAGCCUGGAUUGGGCCAGGCUGAAGCCAGGAGAUGAGAACUCAACCUAGAUCUCCCAUGUGAGUGACAGGGACCAAACUACUUGAUCAAUCACCAUUGGCUCCCAUGGUGUCCAUCAGCAGGAAGUUAGAAUCAGAAACAGCAACAAGAUUUGAAUUCAGGUACUCCAUGAUGGGAUGUGGGUGACCCCAGCAGGGGCUUAACUGCUGUGUUAAAUUCCUGUACCAUUAAGCUAUGUUUUAGCAAAAGUCUUUGCACAAUUGCUGAAUGGAAGUGAAAAAUGAAUCUAAGACUUAAUGACAGAGUGAACUCCUUUCAUUGGAAUUUGUGUUUCUCGGUGGAAUGUUUCUUACCUAUGACAACCAUUAAAACUAAACAGCUAAAUGACUUGAAUUUAGAAUCAGACCUUCACUUUGUAACAAAAUGUUAAACCAGAUUUAAAAAUAAUCAUUUUCAGCACAUGAAAAUUGAUGGUAAUAUUCUUCAGUUUGAAAGAUAGUCUUCGUUUAAUGGUGACUUCAUGAGACAAUGGUUAAGAAGGUUUUAAGUGGGCUGGCACUGUGGCAUAGUAGGCUAAGCCUCAGCCUGCGGCACCGCCAUAUUAUAUAUGGCACCAGUUCAUGUCUUGGCUACUCCUCUUCUGAUCCAACUCUCUGCUAUGGCCUGGAAAAGCAAUGGAAGAUGGCCCAAGUGCUUGGGGCCCUGCACUCAUGUGGCAGAUCCAGAAGAAGCUUCUGGCUUCAAAUGUGCCCAGUUUUGCCAUUGCAGCCAUCUGGGGAGUGAACCAGUAGAUGAAAGAUCUCUCUCUCUCUCUCUCUAACUCUGCCCCUCAAAUAAUAAACAAAACAAAAAAUUUUAAAAGGUUUUGGGGCCAGCACGGUGGCGCACUAGGUUAAUCCUCUGCCUGUGGCGCCGGCAUCCCAUAUGGGCGCCAGAUCCUAGCCCUGGAUGCUCCUCUUCCAGUCCAGCUCUCUGCUGUGGCCCGGAAGGGCAGUGGAGGAUGGCCCAGGUGCUUGGGUGCCUGAACCCGCAUGGGAAACCAGGAAAGAAGCUCCUGGCUCCUGGCUUCGGAUCAGCGUAGCUCUGGCCGUGGCGGCCAUUUGGGGAGUGAACCAACAGAAGGAAGACCUUUCUCUCGGUUUCUCUCUCUCACUAUCUGUAACUCUGUCAAAUAAAUAAAUAAAAAUCUUUUAAAAAAGAUUUUAAGUGUAUUCCAUUUAGAGCACAUUUCACCCGUUGCUUACUUUUCAAAAUGCUUGCUCUUUCCUCAUUGUUAUUAACUUCAUCUUUACUUUAAAGGAAUGUAUUACUUAAGAAAUAUUCCUUUCAUUUAACUUUUAAUUGAAUUAUCUUGUGGCCUCCCACCACACUCAGAAUGAAUCACUGUUGUUUGAAAACCUACAUAACCUUAUGCUAUGGUUUGGAUGUGGUAUUUCUCCCUCGUGUUGAAAGCUUGGUCUUCAGUGUGGUGAUGUUAAGAGGUGGUGGGAUCUUUAAGAGGUGGGGCCUAGCAUAAAUUGUUGAGAUCAUUGGAAGCACUGCCCUAGGAAGAGAUUAGUGCUCUUCUAGUGAGGCUUCUGGCUAGCACUUUUGAGAGGAUUUCUUUAAAAAACAUGCUUGGCCCCUCCCUGGCCUCUUCAGCUUCCGGUUUCACCUCGUGGCAUCUCCCUCUUAUAUGUGUUCCUGCUGUGGUGCCACUUCCCAUGAUGUGAUGCAGACCUCACCAGAGCUGGCACCAUGCUCCUUGGACUGUCAGUAUCCAACACUAUGAGCUAAACAAGUCUCUUUUCUUAAUAAAGUAGGUAGCCUCAGAUAGUUCGUUACAGUAACAGAAAAAGGAUUAACCCAUUUGGACUCUGCCUAACUGCACCUCAUCUCUCUCUUGCUGCACUUGUCUGCCUUCAGAGCACACCAAGCUCAGCAGUCUUAGGGCCUUUGAAUUUUCCAGGGUUCUCCCCACAGAUCUCUGCUUGGGCAGCUUCAAAUGCUUCAUUCAGGUCUGCACUAAAAUUAAACCACAUCAGAUAGGUGCAUCUCACCUAAAAGUUCACUCAGUUGCUCCCCUUCACAGCACUAUCUGCUUUAGUCUGACUCUUGUUACUACAACUAAAACACCUGAGAGGAUUUUCUUGUGAAGGAAGAUGGCUUAUUGCAGCCUACAGUUUUAAAGGUUCAUAGUCCAAGGUCAGGUGGCCUCAUUGGUCUGGUAUCUUUUGAGGGGGAUGGAGGGCACAGUGCUUAUGGAGGGAGGAUCAUAUGGCUAGACAGGAAGGAGAGAGAGAGCAACCAAGCUGAACUAUGCUUAUAUAAUCAACCCUCCCCUCAGAACUACCUUUUGAGACCAUGUCCCCAGUGACCUGAAGACCAUCUGCUUGACCCAUCUCCCAGAUACCAUGACUAGAUCACUAGAUCAAAUCUUCAUCCUUAAUGCAUUAACCAUUAACAUUAAUCAGUUAAUCAGUAAAAUAACACUUUGGGGACCAAGUUUCCAAUAUAUAGAUCUUUAGGGCAUAAUCAAACUAUUCUCCAAGCUAUAGCACCACUUCUCAUAGUGUUGAUUUUGGUUAUUUUUCCUUAUCUCUUCAUUUUUAAAUAUUGUCUGACUCACUAAAAUGCAGAUUCCUUGACAGCACGGACCUUUGUCUUUUUCAUUCCUUCAAAUACUGCUUGGCCUAUAUUAAGCAUCCCAUAAAUAUUGUUGAAUUAAAAGGUGAAAACUUUUCCUCUCUGAUAAUUACAUACUAUAUUGUAGAUCAGAUUCCCCUGACAAAGCAAUCAGGUAUACUGGAGAAUUGUCCAUAUUGAAGCCAGGGGGAGAAUAUUCCAUGUUUUGCUAUGUAGAACCUUCAUAGUAAAGAAAGGGAUGACUUGAACUACACGUUGCAUUGUGUUACUUGGUUGUAUAACAAGUCUGAGGCAGCACUUACUUUGCAAGAAUUCUGUGUGUAGCUACUCAUUUUGAUCAAUAUACUGAACUAUUCAUGAUUUUUUCAAAACAAGUCAGAUUCUAACUUGGUACCAAAGUGAAUGCUAUGUAUAGAAGUUUCUCUGGCACAUAAAACUUUCAUUGAUAUCCUGAAGAAAUACAACAAAGAGAUUUGAUUGAUAUUUAUAUUCUGCUCAGUUGCAAUAGGACAUGAUUCAGAUAAUUCUAAGUUUCCUUAGGAUUUGUCCUGAGAAUUCUAUGCAAUGGCUUCAACACAUAGAGCAACAAUAUUUCUAGGAGUACUUAGAUAUGCAAAUAUUUCCAUAAUUUUAUAUACUAGUAUGAGAAAAGAUUUUGAAACCCAACCAAUUGUUUCAUUUAGUACAGGAUCACAUUUCACAGAACCAUCAUUUUCAUUUAUAUUCAAAAGUGAGGCUUGUUGCUAUUUAAGGUUAUGUUAUUCAUUAACUCUACCAACACAUUUUUUUCAUGUUAAGGUCAUAGUUGUGUUUCAGGUUUGUUUCAUAAUGAUGUCUCCAGCUGUAUUUUUUGACAUAGAAGCACUUUGAUUAAAACUCAUGGGAAUAUUCUCAUUUCUACAAAGAAAAAUGCUUGUUCUCAUUUUUUUGAAACAGAAAGCCUUUACGGUAGGGUUGUUGGAUUUAGCAAACAAAAAAAUACAUACACAGAAUAUCUAAUUAUAUCUGAAUGUCAGACAGACAACAAAUAUUGCAUGGAACAUACUUAUUCUAGAAAAGUAUGUGUCGUUUAUCCAACAUUCAGCAAAUAUUGUCUGGCCAUCCUGAUAUGUCUUCAUUUUGCCCAUGAUUUAUAGAGACAGCUAGCAAAAUGCUCAGAUAGUCUUCAUUACUUUUUUGUUAUCUUUAAAUGCUGUCAACUGUUUUAAAAUCAAAGUGGGGAACUUCUGCUUCCAACCAAGUAACAGGGGGCUGAAACAACAAACCAAAGCAAAAGCAAGUAAAAUAAGUGAAGCAGCCACUCCCCAGGACAUUGGAAAUCAGGCAAUGAAGGUUUUCAUUAUAUCAAACAAUUAAAAAGCACAUAUUAACUAAGCAUUUUCCACAUGUAAAUCCUGUGUUACAAACACACCACAAACACAAGAGAAGAAAGAGAAGACAAGCUCUCAGCUCUUGGAGAUUUUAUAAUUUGGUAGUGAAGAUAAUAUAAAAAGAUAAUAAACAGUAAAAGAUAGUAAACGGUAGGUGUCAAAAGAGGUAACAUAGACAAGAGGUGUCAGGAGAUCAAUUCCGUCUGUGCCUGUGGAGAAAUAGUCAAAUGUAAGGCUUCAGAUGGAGAAAGGAAAAGAAAGGGUGUGAUACACUAAAUGCUUUACAGUCGUUGUCCUAGUUAAGUCUUUCAACAACCCUCUGAGGCAGAUGUUAUCAUUAUCCUCCAUUCCCAGUUGAAAAAUGACAGUGAGAGGGUCUAAGCCACUCGCCUACAUUCACACAUCUGGUAAGCACUGUGUCCACUAUCACCAAGGUCCUCCUGAUCACCACUGCUGCCUCUGAGGUGUUAGGUAGUAGACUGAGAUUUGCAUGGCCUAUGCUCCCAGAGGUGUGACUGAGAAAGCAAGAUUAAAAAAACUAUUUUAGAAUAUGACUUUACUGUCCCAGGUGUUAUAAAUACAAAUAUCAUUCAAUUACAUUGGAUUACAAGAGUCUAGGGAAAGUGUCAAAGAUCAGAAACACUAAAAUCAAAACAAAUUGAAGUGUUUUGGUGGCUAUUUGCAUGUACAGAAAAGAGAAAGCUAAAGAGAAAGGGAAAAAAACUAAGAUAAAUGUGAGUUUAAAGAUUCCAGAAACACACACAAAAUAUUCCACACGAAUUAAUAAACAAGUGAAGUUGUAAGAUUCAUAAUCAAUGUAAAAUAAUCAGUUCUAAUUUUACACACUACAGUGAACUAAGAAAGAAAUUGAGAAGACUGUUCUACUUACAAUAGUCUUAAAAAGAUAGUUAGGAAUAAAUUUAACCAAGAAAGUCAAUAACCUUGUACUCUAAAACACAGAUGAAAGAUAUUGAAGUAGCUACAAAUAAAUCAAUGUAUGUCCUAUAUUCAUACACUAGAAUUGUUAAAAUGUUCAUAACAUUCAAGCAAUCUGCAUACUCAAUCCCUAUCAAGAUUCCAAUGAGAUUUUUCACAGAAAUAGAAAAAACAGUCCCAAGAUCAAGAUAAGUGCAAGGUUAAAUAUUAUGCACACAAAGACUGUUAUCACUAGUAAACUCAGCAGAGUUGCAUGAUGUAAAAUCAUUACAUAAAAAUCAAUUGUAUUUCUGUACAUUAACCAGCACAAUCUGAAAAGGAAAUUUAGAAAACCCUUCCAUUUUCAAUGGCAUCAAAAAAGAAUAAGACAUUUAGGAGUAAACUUAACAAAACAGGUGAAAGAUUUAUAGACUGUGUCGCUCCCCCUCUUCGUGGAGGAACGACACAGGACCCUGCGCUGUUCUUUCGUCUGCUCGGCCCUCCCCGGGUUUGCUGCUGGUUCUUCCCGGGUUGGCUACUAUCCCUUCCACCUCCGUGGAAGGGCAGUUCCCCCUGGCCGCAUUCCCCACUUCCGCAGGGGAGCGGCACACCGCCGGCCGGUUCUCUCUGGGGGGCUGCACAGGUGUUCCUUCAGCUAGAUGUUCCCCUUAGAUGUUCCUGGUGCAUGCCGUCUCUCUCCUCCUUUAUAGUCCUCCUCCGCCAAUCCUAACUCGGCUGCCCACACGCCGAGUACGCUGCUCUCCUCCAAUCAGGAGCAAGUCCUACAGUUAAUUGGUUGAACUGGAGGCAGCUGUGCGGAAGCUGUUUA